rnacentral:rRNA from 1 species
AUUCCAGCUCCAAUAGCGUAUAUUAAAGUUGUUGCGGUUAAAAAGCUCGUAGUUGGAUUUCUGCCGAGGACGACCGGUCCGCCCUCUGGGUGAGUAUCUGGCUCGGCCUGGGCAUCUUCUUGGAGAACGUAGCUGCACUUGACUGUGUGGUGCGGUAUCCAGGACUUUUACUUUGAGGAAAUUAGAGUGUUUCAAGCAGGCACACGCCCUGAAUACAUUAGCAUGGAAUAAUAAGAUAGGACCUCGGUUCUAUUUUGUUGGUUUCUAGAGCUGAGGUAAUGAUUAAUAGGGAUAGUUGGGGGUAUUCAUAUUUAAUUGUCAGAGGUGAAACUCUUGGAUUUAUGAAAGAUGAACUCAUGCGAAAGCAUUUACCAAGGAUGUUUUCAUCG